GCCUGACUGGUUCAGUAGAGCAUGUGACUUUUGAUCUCAGGGUCGUGAGUUCAAGCCCCAUGUUGGGUG
rnacentral:tRNA from 1 species